rnacentral:lncRNA from 1 species
UGUAAAUUUCCCUUUAUAGUAUUGGUAGGGACAAAGCAUCACUGAAUUAUUGCAUCUUUUGACCGUCAAGAAUGGGUCCCAUUAUCAAUUAACCACGACACCUUUUUUAAAUCACUUGGGAAUUAUCAUAUUUAUCACCAAACACGGAGGGGCAAUUUUGUAAAGAACUCUCCCUAUAUAUAGCCAAUUACACUCACAAGCUCUUCAUUCACUUCUUACCAAAUUCCAUCCAUCUUCAAAUACACAAAAGCGGAAAUUCAAAUUUCUAUCAAUGGAGAAGAGAAUUAAGAUCAACGGCGGAGAUUUGUCGAAUAAAUACACGAGGAGGCUUAUUCCAAGGAGGGGUCAAGUGAAGGCUGGGAUUAUGUUGUGUUUGGCUCAUUCACUAGCUGUCAUUUUCUCUGUUAGAAGAAACCCUCCUUCCACCUCUCACUUUUGAGCAUCUUUUCGUGAGCAUGGUUGGAUUCAGUACGACUCCAAAUAGACCUUAAUUUAGACAAAACAAGCUAGUCGAGUCAACAUCUAAUUUUUGCCAAUUUUGGUUGUAUGCUUUGACGCCUUUGAUAAUUUCCCAGUGAGAAUCGUUUUAAGGUUUGAAAUGAGAUAUUACUCUUCGUUUUUGGACCAAAUUCAAUUUUCUAUUUUUCAAAUUGAUAAUAAUGUGCUCGGAUAUUCAAAUUUUGAUGCACACUUAGAAGUGUCAAAAUGCAUCGAUUUGAACAACUUGAGCUAGACAAGCAUGACUCGAUAAAUGUGUUCUCUAGGGUCAGCCAUACCACGUAAUGGUAAACUUUGGGUUAUGUGAAUGUAUUUUGAGUAAUUGAUUAAUGUCGAAUUAAAUAAAAACAAAUCAAAAAUUAAUGAGAAAAAAAGUAGCUAAUCAAAUUGCCAAGUGCCCAAUUUUGGUUGUAUGCUUUGACACCUUUGAUAAUUUCCCAGUGAGAAUCGUUUUAAGGUUUGAAAUGAGAUAUUUCUCUUCGUUUUUGGACCAAAUUCAAUUUUCUAUUUUUCAAAUUGAUAAUAAUGUGCUCGGAUAUUCAAAUUUUGAUGCACACUUAGAAGUGUCAAAAUGCAUCGAUUUGAACAACUUGAGCUAGACAAGCAUGACUCGAUAAAUGUGUUCUCUAGGGUCAGCCAUACCACGUAAUGGUAAACUUUGGGUUAUGUGAAUGUAUUUUGAGUAAUUGAUUAAUGUCGAAUUAAAUAAAAACAAAUCAAAAAUUAAUGAGAAAAAAAGUAGCUAAUCAAAUUGCCAAGUGCCAACCAUUCACGUGCAUGAUACGCAAUUCUUGUGUAAAUGUGCUGCAAGCGUGCACCAAAUGUCACGUGAUUCUCUGAAUCUGUACGUUUUCCCAGAAAUAUAAAUACCUAACAAUUAAGAAUUUGCAUUAUUAUUAUUUUUUUUCCUAUUUUGUUUUCAAGAAUUAGAAAAAAAAUAAAAAAAUAAAAAAAUAAUAGUUGAAUAUCACAAAAUUCAUUCGCAAUUGCAUAUUCUCUAAAUAAAUAAUUUCACCUCAAAAUGCAUCGAUUUGAACAACUUGAGCUAGACAAGCAUGACUCGAUAAAUGUGUUCUCUAGGGUCAGCCAUACCACGUAAUUGUAAACUUUGGGUUAUGUGAAUGUAUUUUGAGUAAUUGAUUAAUGUCGAAUUAAAUAAAAACAAAUCAAAAAUUAAUGAGAAAAAAAGUAGCUAAUCAAAUUGCCAAGUGUCAACCAUUCACGUGCAUGAUACGCAAUUCUUGUGUAAAUGUGCUGCAAGCGUGCACCAAAUGUCACGUGAUUCUCUGAAUCUGUACGUUUUCC